GAUGAACGCUGGCGGCGUGCCUAAUACAUGCAAGUCGAGCGAACGGACCAGAAGCUUUCUUCUCUGAUGUUAUCGGCGGACGGGUGAGUAACAUGUGGUUAACCUACCUAUAAGACUGGGAUAACUUCGGGAGACCGUAUCUAAUACCGGAUAAUAUUUUGAACCUCAUGGUUCAAAAGUGAAAGACGGUCUUUCUGUCACUUAUAGAUGGAUCCGCGCUGCAUUAGCUAGUUGGUAAGGUAGCGGCUUAGCAAGGCUACGAUGCAUAACCGACCCGAGAGGGACGUCGGCCACCCUGGAACUGAGACACGGCAGAGACACCUACGGGAGGACGCAGUCGAGAAUCCUACGCAAGGGGGGAAAGGGGAAUGGAGCAACACCGCGUGAGUGAUGAAGGUGUACGGACCGUAAAGCUAUGUUAGUAGGGGAGAACAUAUGUGCAAGUAACUGUGAACAUAUUGACGGUACCUAAACAGAAAGCUACGGCUAACUCCGUG
rnacentral:rRNA from 1 species